ACACUGGAGGGUGCCCCAGUGGUGGGGCCGUUACUCCCCACCAUCACAGGGAUCUACAGGUGCUGCCUCAAAAAGCCAGACAUUAUAUUCAAUUAGCCACACCACCCUGGCAACUCACUGCUACCACCUGAAAGAAGGUACAGGAGCCUGAAAACCAUGAGCUCCAGGUUCAAGAACAGACUCUUGAGCCACCCUGGCCAACCCUACCUUAACCCCAGACUACUAUGGACUUGAGACUGCUAUGCUUGCACUAUUGUGGUCUGGUUUACCAAGUAUAAUUGAGAAUGUAUAGUAUAUUGGUGUCUUUUAUGCAUCAACGAGCCUGUAAAGCUGCAGUAAGUAAGAAUUUCAAUGGUCCCAGUUCAUAUAGCACUGAAACAUCCUUGACACUUGAAGCAAUCAAAUUGUGAGUCACACAGGCUAUCUCUGCCCAUUGUAUCUCUCUGCCCCUUGUGACACAAGAGCCAUUACAGUGUUCCAAAGUUCUCCCCUGGCAAUAACGUACUUGAAGUGUAAUGACAGGAAAUCUGGCAGCAUUGACUGCCCAGCAGGUUUUUCCACAAAGAACAAUACGAUCAUUUAAUCUGGAGCAAAACACAAGGUGCUGGAGGAACUCCGCCGGUCAUGCAGCAGGAGAAAUGGCCAGGUGAUGCUUCGGGUUGGGACCCUCCUUCAGAUCUUCCGUAUUUCUCUGUCAAGGAGUCAUCGCCUAUCUACCAGGAUCUUUUUAAUCAUGUUUUUAUUGUCGUUGGAUAUUGUAGGAUAUAAUGCUCAAACUAAAGCUUUGGGAUUUUUUUACAGCCACCAGUGAGCAAGCUGACAGUCUUGUAUUCAAAAGCUGAACAUGCUGGAAAAACUCACCAAGUCAGAUAGCAGAAAUGUAUUGUUUCAGGUCUAACCCCUUGUCAGAACUGGCAACCUGAAAAGUUACUUGUUUCUACUGCCACAGAUGCCGCCUAACCUGCUGUGUGUCUCCCGCAUUUCCUGCCUUUGCUUUGAAUCUGCAGGCUUCUGGAGAUUUAUGUAUUGUAACAUCUGAUCUGAUUGAAGGCACUGUGCAGCGUUCUUCCAAUAUUGCAAUAUAUUGAUUACAUGGUGCAUUGUUGGGUGUGGGACCUGAACCUUCAACCUACAACAAUGCUUUCAGGAAUGUAGAGCGGAAAUCUGUUGAUUUAAAAUGGCGAACAAGUUGGAGGCACAAGAAGCCGCUGACGGUGGAAUCUUGAGCAAAACACCAAGUGCUGGAGGAGGCAGUA